GAUGAACGCUGGCGGCGUGCCUAAUACAUGCAAGUCGAGCGAACGGACGAGAAGCUUGCUUCUCUGAUGUUAGCGGCGGACGGGUGAGUAACACGUGGAUAACCUACCUAUAAGACUGGGAUAACUUCGGGAAGCCGGAGCUAAUACCGGAUAAUAUUUUGAACCGCAUGGUUCAAAAGUGAAAGACGGUCUUGCUGUCACUUAUAGAUGGAUCCGCGCUGCAUUAGCUAGUUGGUAAGGUAACGGCUUACCAAGGCAACGAUGCAUAGCCGACCUGAGAGGGUGAUCGGCCACACUGGAACUGAGACACGGUCCAGACUCCUACGGGAGGCAGCAGUAGGGAAUCUUCCGCAAUGGGCGAAAGCCUGACGGAGCAACGCCGCGUGAGUGAUGAAGGUCUUCGGAUCGUAAAACUCUGUUAUUAGGGAAGAACAUAUAUGUAAGUAACUGUGCACAUCUUGACGGUACCUAAUCAGAAAGCCACGGCUAACUACGUG
rnacentral:rRNA from 1 species